UAAUAAUGUGGUCGUUUGAAUCAUUUGAGAUUAUGCAAUGUGGAUUUGACAUAUUACAUUAAAUUUUAAUUUUCACUGUUUGAAAUUCAUGUUAAUGCAUUUCAUAUAAAACCAAGUGCAAUUCUUAAACUGCUAGUAAAUUUCUACAUUCUAUUUCUGGUCAUCAAGAUGAAAUCACAUGGAGGCCACAAAAUAUCAUAUCAAGCAAAUUGUUGAGAAUCGAAUGGCCAAGUAUCGAGUGAAAAUUGACCACUGACUCACUUCACCGGGAAUCGCUCUGAAAAUAAUUCAAAAAGUUCUUUCGACUACUGCUGCUCUGUACACUGACCCCUUCACCAAGAAUCGCUCUGAAAAUAAUUUAAAAAGUCCUUUCAACUACUGCUGCUCUGCACACUGACCCCUUCACCAGGAAUCGCUCUGAAAAUAAUUUAAAAAGUACUUUCAACCACUGCUGCUCUGCACGCUGACUCACUUCACCAGGAAUCUUUCCAGAAACAUGUUACCAGAUCUUCUCGAUCCAACUAUUACUGCCCUGAAGCCUUAAAAUCAUUCACGUGAAUGACUCGCAAGUGGUUUUUUUCAAUGACUGUCUAUAAUUAUGCAUGAUUAACUUAACUCUUAUUAACUCAAUAACAUGACUAACCUCACUAACUUAAUUAGGCAGUUAAUAUAAAAACCACUUGUUGAGUUUUACUAUGAAGGUCUUAAUGGGGUUACGUGGAAGACACCGCUGCAUGAUUAAUCAGGGUAACCAACUUCAAGCCAAGUGCUCUUCAACGCUCAAGUUGCUCAUGAGUGAGAACAAUCAUUUGAUCUACUAAUUAUG